GACCCAGUGGCGGAUGGACCGUGCCUGCUCAGUAUGCACAUUUAUUUCUUCGAGUACAUUAUGCAGGUGUUGCUCGUUCGAAUCGAGCCUGGGUCA